AAAACUUUCAACAACGGAUCUCUUGAUUCUCGCAACGAUGAAGAACGCAGCGAAAUGCGAUACGUAAUGUGAAUUGCAGGUUUUCGUGAAUCAUCGAAUCUUUGAACGCAUAUUGCGCUCUCUGGCAUUCCAGAGAGCAUGCCUGUUUGAGCGUCAUUU
rnacentral:rRNA from 1 species